ACCUGGCUGGCUCAGUUGGUAGAGCUUAUGAUUCUUGAUCUCAGGGUCAUGAGUUCAAGCCCCAUGUUGGGUU
rnacentral:tRNA from 1 species